CCUUCAUCUCCUCUUGUAGGCACUUCAUCACCUCACAACAUCGCAAGACGUGAUUACAGUGUCAUAAGAUACUUUGAGAGGGAGAGAUAAUGCUGAUUGCCCAAUGGGAUCCCAGGUAUAGAUUGAGCAAGAGGAGACAAUGAAACAUGUGUAGGUGAUAUAUGAGUCUCAGAUACUUACCUGUGACUUCAAGAUCUGCUCAAAGAAGAUUGCUUAUAUAUACCAUUUUAAUUUGAUGGAGGAAGACAUAUCUGGGAGCUCCAAACAUGCAUCAGGCCCGGGGCUCACUGCUGAGGUUGCAAACGUGAUGAAGCCAGUCUUCAAAGAGCUCAGAGUCUCGCGAGGACCAUGACGCAGGCCUGAUACCAGUAAAAUAGAAAAAGUGCUAUGGAAAA